AGUGAUACACAGACAAAUUAGAUAUGGAUCCUGCAUUCAGGGGCAAGCUUGUGGUACAGCUAACUGAACAGAUAACAAAUGAUGAUAAAAGAUAAUCUCUGCUCAGUACUGUUUCUUUCAACAAGAGAUGUGCCAAUGUGUGCGUUAGGAUUGCAAGAUGCAGCAAAAUAAAAUAAAGGACAUCCAAUUAUAUUUGGGUUCUGAGUAAACAAUGUAAAAAAAAUAGUGAAAGUAUAUCCCACGUAAAAUUUCAGACUUAUACUAAAAAUUUAACUGGGC
rnacentral:lncRNA from 1 species